rnacentral:rRNA from 1 species
AUUGAACGCUAGCGGCACGCCUAACACAUGCAAGUCGAACGAGUGGCGGACGGGUGAGUAAUGUCUGGGAAACUGCCUGAUGUAGGGGGAUCACUACUGGAAACGGUAGCUACUACCGCAUACCAUUGGAUGUGCCCAGGUGGGAUUAGCUAGUUGGUGGGGUAACGGCUCACCUAGGCGACGAUCCCUAGCUGGUCUGAGAGGAUGACCAGCCACACUGGAACUGAGACACGGUCCAGACUCCUACGGGAGGCAGCAGUGGGGAAUAUUGCACAAUGGGCGCAAGCCUGAUGCAGCCAUGCCGCGUGUAUGAAGAAGGCCUUCGGGUUGUAAAGUACUUUUAGCGGGGAGGCGUUACCCGCAGAAUAAGCACCGGCUAACUACGUGCCAGCAGCCGCGGUAAUAC